rnacentral:rRNA from 1 species
CUCGAAGUUUCUUGCGGGUGGAUUCAGUCAGGAGUCUACGAUCCUUCCUCGGUACGUGACUAAUCUCGACUUGUCGGGAGAGGGACUCCGUUGGAUAGGCGUGACUCGAAGGGGGCCUGACGCAAUUCCAACCCGCAAUAUGCACGCCGCAGCCGGUUGGGUAGCUGCGCGUGUCGGCCAUGAGGAUGGGCAGUGGCAGUAGACCGUUUCUCGCUGUCUAAGUGGCGUUUGCCGGUUGUUUAGCCAGCUCAUCCGUGGCGCGACACCCGACCGAGGUUCAGGAGGUUCACUAGUUGAUCCUCGCCGUCCCCUCUUCUAAUUUAGAAGAGCGGGCCAGCGGACAGGCGAGUUGCUGGGCAAUGCCACUUACGUCACCGAACUGGGUGGGGCUCAGUAGCCGCUGGUGGUCCGGUCUGGCUAAGACCGCAUAAUAUGAUGGCUUGUGGCGAGUAGGUCGGUCACCCACCCGACCCGUCUUGAAACACGGACCAAGGAGUCUAACAUGUGCGCAAGUCAUGGGGUCUUGAAUAGGCCCAGAGGCACAAUGAAAGUGACUCUAAUAAAUGCUGGAUCAUCUCAGUUCUUAUUAAUGUUGGGACUUCCCGGGGUAGCGUCCGAGGAAAGCACCAACGACCCGCCCUGUUCUUAAUUAAAAAAAGUGUGGACGGCGUUUGAGCGCACACGUUGGGACCCGAAAGAUGGUGAACUAUGCUUGGGCAGGACGAAGCCAGAGGAAACUCUGGUGGAGGUCCGCAGCGGUU